rnacentral:rRNA from 1 species
UUCAGAGGUCUCGAGCGUUGUUCGGAUUUACUGGGCGUAAAGGGAGCGUAGGCGGCCGGGUGUGUCGAAUGUGAAAGCCCACAACUCAACUGUGGAAUGGCAUUCGAAACUACCUGGCUAGAGUACUGGAGAGGAGAGUGGAAUUCCUAGUGUAGCGGUGAAAUGCGUAGAUAUUAGGAGGAACACCAGUAGCGAAGGCGGCUCUCUGGACUGUAACUGACGCUGAGGCACGAAAGCGUGGGGAGCAAACAGGAUUAGAUACCCCU